rnacentral:rRNA from 1 species
CGGGGGUGCGAGCGUUGUCCGGAAUCACUGGGCGUAAAGGGCGCGUAGGUGGUCUGAUAAGGGUGUGGUGAAAGCCCGGGGCUCAACCCCGGGUCUGCCGUGCCGACUGUCAGACUGGAGUGCUGUAGGGGCAGGCGGAAUUCCGGGUGUAGCGGUGGAAUGCGUAGAGAUCCGGAGGAAGACCGGUGGCGAAGGCGGCCUGCUGGGCAGUUACUGACACUGAGGCGCGACAGCGUGGGGAGCAAACAGGAUU